AGAGUUUGAUCCUGGCUCAGGAUGAACGCUGGCGGCGUGCUUAACACAUGCAAGUCGAACGCACCUUCGGGUGAGUGGCGGACGGGUGAGUAACGCGUGGGAAUCUGCCCUUAGGAGGGGGAUAACGGCUGGAAACGGCCGCUAAUACCCCAUAUGCCGAGAGGUGAAACGAAUUUCGCCUGAGGAUGAGCCCGCGUCUGAUUAGCUAGUUGGUGGGGUAAGAGCCCACCAAGGCGACGAUCAGUAGCUGGUCUGAGAGGAUGAUCAGCCACACUGGGACUGAGACACGGCCCAGACUCCUACGGGAGGCAGCAGUGGGGAAUUUUCCGCAAUGGGCGAAAGCCUGACGGAGCAACGCCGCGUGAGGGAUGAAGGCCUCUGGGCUGUAAACCUCUUUUCUCAAGGAAGAAGACGUGACGGUACUUGUGGAAUAAGCCACGGCUAAUUCCGUGCCAGCAGCCGCGGUAAUACGGGAGUGGCAAGCGUUAUCCGGAAUUAUUGGGCGUAAAGCGUCCGCAGGCGGCUCUGUAAGUCUGUUGUUAAAGCGUGGAGCUCAACUCCAUUUCAGCAAUGGAAACUACAGGGCUUGAGUGUGGUAGGGGCAGAGGGAAUUCCCGGUGUAGCGGUGAAAUGCGUAGAUAUCGGGAAGAACACCAGUGGCGAAGGCGCUCUGCUGGGCCAUAACUGACGCUCAUGGACGAAAGCCAGGGGAGCGAAAGGGAUUAGAUACCCCUGUAGUCCUGGCCGUAAACGAUGAACACUAGGUGUCGGGGGAAUCGACCCCCUCGGUGUCGUAGCCAACGCGUUAAGUGUUCCGCCUGGGGAGUACGCACGCAAGUGUGAAACUCAAAGGAAUUGACGGGGGCCCGCACAAGCGGUGGAGUAUGUGGUUUAAUUCGAUGCAACGCGAAGAACCUUACCAGGGUUUGACAUCCUGCGAAUCCCUUGGAAACUUGGGAGUGCCUUCGGGAGCGCAGAGACAGGUGGUGCAUGGCUGUCGUCAGCUCGUGUCGUGAGAUGUUGGGUUAAGUCCCGCAACGAGCGCAACCCACGUCUUUAGUUGCCAGCAUUCAGUUGGGCACUCUAGAGAGACCGCCGGUGAUAAACCGGAGGAAGGUGUGGAUGACGUCAAGUCAUCAUGCCCCUUACAUCCUGGGCUACACACGUACUACAAUGCUACGGACAGAGGGCAGCAAGCUCGCGAGAGUUAGCAAAUCCCAUAAACCGUGGCUCAGUUCAGAUCGUAGGCUGCAACUCGCCUACGUGAAGGAGGAAUCGCUAGUAAUCGCAGGUCAGCAUACUGCGGUGAAUACGUUCCCGGGCCUUGUACACACCGCCCGUCACACCAUGGAAGUUGGCCAUGCCCGAAGUCGUUACUCCAACCCUUGUGGAGGAGGACGCCGAAGGUGGGGCUGAUGACUGGGGUGAAGUCGUAACAAGGUA
rnacentral:rRNA from 1 species